CUUAUCUAGGGAAUAGGGUGCCAUUUUUGAUGCGCACUUUGAAACCUAAGAUAUAACAGCUGUGUGUGUGUGUGUGUGUGUGUACAGUAUAAAUACAAAGAAAGAGAACUAUUUUAAAAUACAUAGGACAUUGCUGUUUAGCAUUUUCUAUUUAAAUAUUUAUUUUUUUAGAUAUCGUACUAAUGCUAUAUUGACAUGCAUAUAAAUGUGUACAUGUGGCAUUACCAGAUAUUGCGGUAACACUCGACACCCAGCGUUAUAGCAUGUUAUGAUGCUGGCGUAACCAUCUCAUAACUGUUGUCACAACACUCAAAUGUAUAUUUACACAUGUGACAUGUUGUUACUUUAUAGCUGGUUAGGACACCUGCCAUAAGUGUCCAAACCAACAUUUAUUAAAAUGUGUUUUCUCUGCCAAGAAGUUUCCUUUCGUUUCAACGUUUGUUUCUUUAAGUCCUUUGUUGUAAUGAAGUCUUCAGUCAUUUUGUUUUUUAAAAUGUUAAAUAACUCGUAGAAAAUAUACAGUAUAACACUAUCAUGAAGUAUUAUGUCUCUUUAUGACACUAUCAUGAAGUAUUAUGUCUCUUUAUAACACUGGUAUGAAGCAUUACGACCACCAUCAUCAUAUAAGCCAGAUAGACCUAUCAGCUACAUGACCUUAUGUCAGUCAUCAGUCACAUAGAGGGAGGGGGUCUUGUCCUGCUCCUGCACCCAGUCAUCAGAAACAGAGCAUUGGGCGGUGUAGGUGCAUGUCUGACAUCAAUGUGUAUGAGAUUACAAUGAUUAAUUUAAUAGGUCAAUCUAAGAAAAUGCUAUGUCACAUUUAACAUACUGUUGACCAGUAGGCUGAUGGACUGGAAUGAUUUGCCUUGUUCGUUUGGACCCUUGUGGAGGUGUUAUAACCAGCCAUAAAAUAACACAAUAUGUCACAACAGUGUUAUGAACAUGUUAUGACACUGGGUGUCAAGUAUCGAUAUUUCUAAAUAGGUGAUUGGAAAUAGGUGUUACAUAUUGAAUAAAAUGACCACUGGAUUAUUGACUUGCGCAUCGGGGGUGUGUUCAUUAGGCGAGACCGACUUGCGCAUCGGGGUUGUGUUCAUUAGGCUACGCCGACUUGCGCAUCGGGGUUGUGUUCAUUAGGCUACACCGACUUGCGCAGCGGGGUGUGUUCAUUAGGCGAGGCCGACUUGCGCAGUGGGGGUGUGUUCAUUAGGCGACGCAGACUUGGGCAGCGGGGGUGUGUUCAUUAGGCGACGCAGACUUGGGC
rnacentral:lncRNA from 13 species